UAAUAUCCGCCCUCCCUUCCCCACAGGUGGGCGGGGUUUGUGGCACCAAGCGAGGCUCACCUGGGCGGGUGCCACCCACCUGCUUGAGCUGGCCUUUGACCCGCCUCGGCCAGGGAGGACAAUGGACGGCCGGCCGGGGGUGGACCUAAGGCCAAAAGAAAAGAGGCUGACCCCUGAGCUCAAGCCUCUUUUGCUGUUCUUCCUUCUGGGAUCAAGAUCAGGAUCAGGAGUGUAUCCAGGCGGCCGGACUGAGGUAAGUAACCGGCAUUCUUUAUUUUGCUUGCAUUUG